GUCGGCCCGAACGAGGGGACGCAACGGAGGCAGGUUGGAGCCGCUGCCGUCGCCAUGACCCGCGGUAACCAGCGAGAGCUCGCCCGCCAGAAGAACAUGAAGAAGCAGAGCGACUCGGUUAAGGGAAAGCGCCGAGAUGAUGGGCUUUCUGCUGCCGCCCGCAAGCAGAGGUAGCCCCAGGGAGGGGAAAGGAAGGGUCGGGCCGGGACUGGACGGGGAGACCUGGGUUAGAGCGAGGGGUGUACCAGGAAAGAGAACUCUUGCAGGGUUCGAGUCUAGGUUAGAUGUGAGGGGCAGAGUGCAUUGCUUCCUCUAGAGUUUUAUUUCCUCCCCACUCUAAAUUGUUAGGUCACAGCCAUACAGGAAGGGACUGGGGCGGGUCCCUGUCCGCAGGCUGAUUUCUGCGGGCCCUGGUUCUGACCUUAAGGGCAAGGGCAGGGGCUUCACACAUCAAGUGUAGUUGUUUUGACAGCCCAGUACUUUUGACCCUCCUCGAUACUUGUAUCUCCUCCCUUUUCCCGACUUUCUCACUGGUGUUGGGGUGUGGUGCUUAGUACAGAAUAGAGAGCCUUGGGCUUGAAUGGCCAGACUUCUGACCCCUUGGGCAACAGCCAGAUGGAGACUGAUUGCCUUUUGACCCUAGCUCUAUUCCUCUUGUUCUCCUAGGGUGGGAAUAUAGCAGCCAUAUGCUGAACUUUGUCCCAUCCACUUCCAUCUUAUCCUCUGUACCCUUCAUCCCCCUGCAUCUUGUCCUUUUUGCCCUCUGGUACCUCCCAGUGCCCCAUCAUCUCUACCCCCAGGGACUCGGAGAUCAUGCAGCAGAAGCAGAAAAAGGCAAACGAGAAGAAGGAGGAACCCAAGUAGCUUUGUGGCUUCGUGUCCAACCCUCUUGCCCUACGCCUGUGUGCCUGGAGCCAGUCCCACCAUGCUCGAGUUUCUUCCUGUAGUGCUCACAGGUCCCAGCACCGAUGGCAUUCCCUUUGCCCUGAGUCUGCAGCGGGUUCCUUUUGUGCUUCCUUCCCCUCAGGUAGCCUCUCUCCCUCUGGGCCACUCCUGGGGGUGAGGGGGUUACCCCUUCCCAGUGUUUUUUAUUCCUGUGGGGCACACCCCAAAGUAUUAAAAGUAGCUUUGUAAUUCCU
rnacentral:lncRNA from 1 species